rfam:Candidatus Saccharibacteria bacterium RIFCSPHIGHO2_12_FTLL_47_16b rifcsphigho2_12_scaffold_11590, whole genome shotgun sequence.
GGCCGUCGUCAGCUCGUGUCGUGAGAUGUUUGGUUAAGUCCAUCAACGAGCGCAACCCUUAUAGUUAGUUGGAUUUCUCUAGCUAGACUGCCCCGGUAACGGGGAGGAAGGAGGGGAUGAUGUCAGGUCAGUAUUACCCUUAUGCCUUGGGCAACAAACACGCUACAAUGGCCGGUACAAAGGGCAGCCAAGUCGUAAGACGGAGCAAAUCCCACUAAAAGCCGGUCCCAGUUCGGAUUGGGGGCUGAAACCCGCCCCCAUGAAGCCGGAAUCGCUAGUAACGGUAGGUCAGCAUACUACCGUGAAUACGUUCCCGGGUCUUGUACAAAAUAAAUGCGCCUGGCAGUUUUGAAAGCUAAGCGGUGUAAAUCCGUU